UAUACUGUUUAUAAUAUUUUUUAUACUCCAUAUUCUCCUUCCAUUCCGUUUUUCAUAAAAUCUAUAUGAAUUACAGUCCACUAUCACCGCACAGCUAGUGCAGUACUGUUUCAAGACGACCAGCAGUAACCACUAGCCACAAUCGAUCGGCCGUGAGCAGACAAUAUUACCUGUUGAACGUGGACGACGACGGAACGCGACGCAGCUGAUACGAUGAGAACUGUGAAGAUGCUUCCUCGGCAGUGGUCGCGGGUACAGUUGUCACAGUGUUUCAACUCGUUGAGCUCGAGAUGAUUUUGUUCGUGAUAUUUGCGACGGUUUCCGUUGAAGCUCAUAUUGUAUAUAUGUCAAUGUCGUCCAUACACGUGAUCACUGCCGUCUGUCCUCGAUCGACAUAGUCGUCACUCGUCGUCGAACAACUGUCAACCAACUACAGUGUGCUUGUGCAAGUCUCGUGAUCCUGAAUUUUUGUGAAUGCCACCGGCAGGUUAUUGAUCGUUUUCGACACGUCGUACUGAUUCUUCAUUCGGAGACAACAACGGGUCGAGACGCACACACAUGUCAUCAGCAAUCAUGAUACACCGGCAAUAAUUCGUUGGUGGUGACGGUCCGUCGGGUCGAGGCGACGGUCUAUAAUAAUAAGAACCGAUCCAAAUCUCUCCUGCACAUGGUGUACUUCGGUGAAUUGACGAUCGCUGCGAAAAUUGCCCGUCACUAGGCGACUAACGCGGUGGGCUCGCACACCACGACGCUGUAUUACGUUAUUUGUCUCGUUUUUUUUGUCUUUUCGACGAUAAGUAUAGUGAUAAGACAAACAUUAUAAAUUAAAUACUUUUGAUGAUUGUAUUGAUAUUAUGAUUUAAUUAAAUCUAAGUAACAAGGCUAGGUACUUAUGACUAAUAUAUUAACGAUUUAAAAAUCAUAUAAAUUGUAUUCGCCGUCAUCUCUAAGUUUUAGAAAAUUUGUGUAGAAUGUCGUACCAUGUUUAUACUUUAUUCUGAAUAUUAAUUCUAAUAAUAAUGUUUUAUUAUGCGAUCGUUCUUUCGAUAUUAUACAACACUAAGUUUAUAAAAUAUAUCCUCAUGACUUAUGUAUUUUGGUAGUAUCCGGA